rnacentral:lncRNA from 1 species
GUAUGUGACACAUGACCAGGAAGCAGACAGAUGGACAAAAAUGGAAUAUCUGGAAAUAGACCUAGCAACAUGGAAAUUUAGUUAAUAAAGUGGGUAUUUCAGAUCAGUGGGGCAAAAAUGCAGUUUGUAAUGAAAGGUGCUAGGACAACUGGUGAGCUGUCUGAACAAGAUGGUUUUACAUGUAUAAAUUACACCGUUCAGGUCGAGUGUGGCGGCUCACGCCUGUAAUCCUAGCACUUUGGGAGGCCAAGGGGGGGCAGAUCAGUUGAGAUCAGGAGUUCGAGACCAGCCUGGCCAACAUGGUGAAACCCCAUCUCGGGCAGGCGCAGUGGCUCGCGCCUGUGAUCCCAGCACUUUGGGAGGCCGAGGCAGGCGGAUCACGAGGUCAGGAGAUCGAGACCAUCCUUGUUAACACAGUGAAACCCCGUCUCUACUAAAAAUACAAAAAAAUUAGCCGGGCGUGGUGGCGGGCGCCUGUAGUCCCAGCUACUCGGGAGGCUGAGCCAGGAGAAUGGCGUGAACCCGGGAGGCGGAGCUUGCAGCGAGCCGAGAUCGCGCCACUGCACUCCAGCCUGGGCAGCAGUGAGACUCCAUCUCAAAAGAAAAGAAAAGAAAAGAAAAACCCCAUCUGUACUAAAAAUACGAAAGUUAGCCAGGCAUGGUGGUGCGGGCCUGUAAUCCCAGCUACUCAGGGGGCUGAGGCAGGAGAAUUGGUUGAGCCCGGGAGGUGGAGCUUGCAGUGAGCCGAGAUGGCGCCACUGCACUCCAGCCUGGGUGACAGAGCGAGACCCCGCCUUCCCCCCGCCCCCCAAAAAAUUACACCGUUCACAGGAAUAAGCUGCAAAUGGAUCAGGGAUCUAAAUGUGGACAAAACGUGCACACAGGGCACACAGGGCAGACGGGACCUAGAUGACGACAGAUCUGCGUGUUUGGGCUCUGUUUGAAACAGACCUCAGCCAGAGUCUUGAAGAGCAGAACCCGGAGUGUUGAAGUCACAAGAGAUCAACAUCCCUACGGUGUGAAAUCCUGAAAACGGCAAAUCCCAAAGGACGAAACGCCCGAAAAUGAUGUCAUCCUUUAAGUGUUUUCUUCUUUUUUCUUUUCUUUUUCUUUUCUUUUCUUUUUUUUUUUUUUUUUGAGUCAGGAUCUCGCUCUGUCGCCCAGGCUGCAGUGCAGUGCCGCUAUCGUGGCUCACUGCAGCCUCAGCCUCCUGGGCUCGAGUGGUCCUCCCACCAGAGCCUCCCACACUGCUGGGAUUACAGGCACCAACCACCUUGCGCAGCUAGAGAGUAAUUUUUAAACUUCUUUAAAAGACAGUUAGACUGGACAUGGUGGCUCACGACGGGAAUCCCAGCAAUUUGGGAGCUCAAGCUGGGGGGAUCGCUAGAGUCCAGGAGUUUGAGACCAGCCUGGGAAACAGGGAGACCGUGUCUCUACGAAAAAAAGUUUAAAAAAUUAGCCGGAUGUGGUGGCUCACGCCUGUGCUUCCAGGUAUUCUGGAGGCUGAGGCAGGAGAAUGGCGUGAACCCGGGAGGCG